GACGAACGCUGGCGGCGUGCUUAACACAUGCAAGUCGAACGGAAAGGCCCUGCUUUUGUGGGGUGCUCGAGUGGCGAACGGGUGAGUAACACGUGAGUAACCUGCCCUUGACUUUGGGAUAACUUCAGGAAACUGGGGCUAAUACCGGAUAGGAGCUCCUGCUGCAUGGUGGGGGUUGGAAAGUUUCGGCGGUUGGGGAUGGACUCGCGGCUUAUCAGCUUGUUGGUGGGGGAGUGGCUUACCAAGGCUUUGACGGGUAGCCGGCCUGAGAGGGUGACCGGCCACAUUGGGACUGAGAUACGGCCCAGACUCCUACGGGAGGCAGCAGUGGGGAAUAUUGCACAAUGGGCGGAAGCCUGAUGCAGCAACGCCGUGUGCGGGAUGACGGCCUUCGGGUUGUAAACCGCUUUCGCCUGUGACGAAGCGUGAGUGACGGUAAUGGGUAAAGAAGCACCGGCUAACUACGUG
rnacentral:rRNA from 1 species